GCUGUGAUGGCCGAGUGGUUAAGGCGUUGGACUCGAAAUCCAAUGGGAUCUUCCCGCGCAGUUUCGAACCCUGCUCGCAGCG
rnacentral:tRNA from 1 species